rnacentral:rRNA from 1 species
CGGUACGUACUGGCAUUGUUGGUUUCUCCCUUCUGACGAACCAUGAUGUCAUUUAUUUGGUGUUGUGGGGAAUCAGGACUGUUACUUUGAAAAAAUUAGAGUGUUUAAAGCAGGCUCACGCUUGAAUACAUUAGCAUGGAAUAAUGAAAUAGGACGUUUGAUUCUAUUUUGCUGGUUUCUAGGAUCGACGUAAUGAUUAAUAGGGAUAGUUGGGGGCAUUAGUAUUCAAUUGUCAGAGGUGAAAUUCUUGGAUUUAUUGAAGACUAACUACUGCGAAAGCAUUUGCCAAGGAUGUCUUCAUUAAUCAUUAACGAAAGUUAGGGGAUCGAAGACGAUCAGAUACCGUCGUAGUCUUAACCAUAAACUAUGCCGACUAGGGAUCGGAUGAUGUUAAUUUUUUAAUGACUCAUUCGGCGCCUUAC